GACGAACGCUGGCGGCGCGCUUAACACAUGCAAGUCGUACGCAUCCCUUCGGGGAUGAGUGGCGCACGGGUGAGUAACGCGUGGGAACCUGCCCUGGGGUUCGGGACAACGGCGGGAAACUGCCGCUAACACCGGAUACGGCCUUCAGCGAUGGAGGCGAAAGUUCACGCCCUGGGAUGGGCCCGCGUCCGAUUAGCUAGUUGGUGGGGUAACGGCCCACCAAGGCUGCGAUCGGUAGCCGGUCUGAGAGGAUGAUCGGCCACACUGGGACUGAGACACGGCCCAGACUCCUACGGGAGGCAGCAGUGGGGAAUCUUGCGCAAUGGGCGAAAGCCUGACGCAGCCAUGCCGCGUGAAUGAUGAAGGUCUUAGGAUUGUAAAAUUCUUUCACCGGGGACGAUAAUGACGGUACCCGGAGAAGAAGCCCCGGCUAACUUCGUGCCAGCAGCCGCGGUAACAC
rnacentral:rRNA from 1 species